AUUGAACGCUGGCGGCAGGCUUAACACAUGCAAGUCGAGCGGGGGAAGGUAGCUUGCUACCGGACCUAGCGGCGGACGGGUGAGUAAUGCUUAGGAAUCUGCCUAUUAGUGGGACAACGUUUCGAAAGGAACGCUAAUACCGCAUACGUCCUACGGGAGAAAGCAGGGGGCCUUCGGGCCUUGCGCUAAUAGAUGAGCCUAGGUCGGAUUAGCUUGUUGGUGAGGUAAUGGCUCACCAAGGCGACGAUCCGUAACUGGUCUGAGAGGAUGAUCAGUCACACUGGAACUGAGACACGGUCCAGACUCCUACGGGAGGCAGCAGUGGGGAAUAUUGGACAAUGGGCGAAAGCCUGAUCCAGCCAUGCCGCGUGUGUGAAGAAGGUCUUCGGAUUGUAAAGCACUUUAAGUUGGGAGGAAGGGUUGUAGAUUAAUACUCUGCAAUUUUGACGUUACCGACAGAAUGAGCACCGGCUAACUCUGUGCCAGCAGCCGCCGUAA
rnacentral:rRNA from 1 species